GCAUUGGUGGUUCAGUGGUAGAAUUCUAGCUUGCCAUGUUGGAGACCUGGGGUUUGAUUCCCAGCCAAUGCA